UACGAAGGGGGCUAGCGUUGCUCGGAAUCACUGGGCGUAAAGGGUGCGUAGGCGGGUCUUUAAGUCAGGGGUGAAAUCCUGGAGCUCAACUCCAGAACUGCCUUUGAUACUGAAGAUCUUGAGUUCGGGAGAGGUGAGUGGAACUGCGAGUGUAGAGGUGAAGAUUCGUAGAUAUUCGCAAGAACACCAGUGGCGAAGGCGG
rnacentral:rRNA from 1 species